rnacentral:rRNA from 1 species
GGAGCAUGUGGUUUAAUUCGAAGCAACGCGAAGAACCUUACCAAAUCUUGACAUCCUUUGACAACUCUAGAGAUAGAGCCUUCCCCUUCGGGGGACAAAGUGACAGGUGGUGCAUGGUUGUCGUCAGCUCGUGUCGUGAGAUGUUGGGUUAAGUCCCGCAACGAGCGCAACCCUUAAGCUUAGUUGCCAUCAUUAAGUUGGGCACUCUAAGUUGACUGCCGGUGACAAACCGGAGGAAGGUGGGGAUGACGUCAAAUCAUCAUGCCCCUUAUGAUUUGGGCUACACACGUGCUACAAUGGACAAUACAAAGGGCAGCGAAACCGCGAGGUCAAGCAAAUCCCAUAAAGUUGUUCUCAGUUCGGAUUGUAGUCUGCAACUCGACUACAUGAAGCUGGAAUCGCUAGUAAUCGUAGAUCAGCAUGCUACGGUGAAUACGUUCCCGGGUCUUGUACACACCGCCCGUCACACCACGAGAGUUUGUAACACCCGAAGCCGGUGGAGUAACCUUUUAGGAGCUAGCCGUCGAAGGUGGGACAAAUGAUUGGGGUGAAGUCGUAACAAGGUAGCCGUAUCGGAAGGUGCGGCUGGAUCACCUCCUUUCUAAGGA